UAAUUUAUGAAUCCACAGCUUCUGAUGAUUACAAGAUGGGCGGAGUCACCUCGUCAAUAGCAGCAAAGUUCGCUUUCUUCCCGCCAAAUCCUCCCUCAUACACUGUGGUAGCAGACGAGUCCAGCCCCGGUAAACUUGUCAUUCCGGAGGUCCCGAGGAGCGAUGAAGUGGAUGUUCUGAAGCUCCGGACUCGACGAGGAAACGAAAUCGUGGCCAUUCAUAUAAAACAUCCCAGAGCAUCAUUAACUCUGCUAUAUUCCCAUGGAAAUGCAGCUGAUUUGGGGCAGAUGUUUGAGCUCUUCGUCGAAUUGAGUAAACGCCUUCGCAUUAAUCUCAUGGGGUAUGAUUACUCGGGCUACGGACAAUCAAGUGGAAAGCCAACUGAAUGUAAUACAUACGCAGAUAUAGACGCUGCAUAUAAUUGCCUUAGAGAACAGUAUGGGGUUAAAGAUGAACAAUUAAUACUUUAUGGUCAGUCUGUUGGUAGUGGACCUACAGUUGAUCUUGCUUCACAGUUACCAAACUUGAGAGGUGUGGUUCUACAUAGCCCAAUUUUGUCAGG
rnacentral:misc_RNA from 1 species